UUAGUGUUCUUGUAGUUGAGUAACAACGGUGGUUUUUCAAACCAUUGGCCUGGGUUAAACACCUAGCAGGAAUU
rnacentral:tRNA from 1 species